AGUGUGUGUGUCAGUGAGAGGACAGAAGAGCUCACAUCAGUUCAGCUUCAACAUCAACCAUGUUCUCUGGAGCUCUGAUACUGCUGCUGGCAGCUGGAUCCUGUGUGUACAGUAUUGAUCUCAUCCAGCCAGAGUCAAAGGUUGUGCAGCCUGGACAGUCUUUGACCAUCACCUGUCAGGUCUCUGGUUAUUUUCUGACUAGUAGCAGCUAUGGAACAGGUUGGAUCAGACAGCGUGAAGGAAAACCAAUGGACUGGAUUUUCCAUCAGUGGGGUGGAAGCGGUAGCAGCUUUUGGCAAAAUGAUGCUCUGAAGAACAAGUUCAGCUACAACAGAGACAUGUCUGCUGGAACAGUGACUAUAACAGGACAGAAUCUGCAGCCUGAGGACACAGCUGUUUAUUACUGUGUACGUCUCCCCACAGUGAAACAAACCACUAAUAGACCUGCACAAAAACUCAGCAACACAUGUGACUCAAACACAUGUUCUAAAUGUGAAUACUAACAAAGACUAACGUAAAAUUUGACUGUAUCUUCUCUUGAGUAUG